UUUGAUAAGUUUAUCCUUAGAUGGGGUGAUCAGGCCCAGAAAUUUUGUUCCAGGUGACUUCUUGCUCAGGCACUGCCUUCAGAAAUGAGAGCACCAAGUUCACUUCCCUUCUCUGAAUGAAUCACUCAGCCAGAUGAUCACUGCAAUGACCAAACCCAGGACACAUCCACUCUGGUGGUGUGUCUUUGACAGGCACCAAGGUUUCAUCUUCAGCAGCUUUCAGAGGCAGCGGCCAUCAAGAUCCUUGUGCACACUGCAAGAACGAG